rnacentral:rRNA from 2 species
AAAUUGAAGAGUUUGAUCAUGGCUCAGAUUGAACGCUGGCGGCAGGCCUAACACAUGCAAGUCGAACGGUAACAGGAAGCAGCUUGCUGCUUUGCUGACGAGUGGCGGACGGGUGAGUAAUGUCUGGGAAACUGCCUGAUGGAGGGGGAUAACUACUGGAAACGGUGGCUAAUACCGCAUAAUGUCGCAAGACCAAAGAGGGGGACCUUCGGGCCUCUUGCCAUCAGAUGUGCCCAG